rnacentral:rRNA from 1 species
UACGAAGGGGGCGAGCGUUGUUCGGAUUUAUUGGGCGUAAAGGGCGCGUAGGCGGGGCUUUAAGUCAGAUGUGAAAGCCCGGAGCUCAACUCCGGAACAGCAUUUGAAACUGAAGCUCUAGAGGGUAGGCGGGGAAAAUGGAAUUCCACAAGUAGCGGUGAAAUGCGUAGAUAUGUGGAAGAACACCGGUGGCGAAGGCGAUUUUCUAGCUUAUACCUGACGCUGAGGCGCGAAAGUAAGGGGAUGCAAACAGGAUU